UACGUAGGGGGCAAGCGUUGUCCGGAAUUAUUGGGCGUAAAGAGCGCGUAGGCGGUCCGAUAAGUCGGCUGUGAAAGUCAGGGGCUCAACCCUUGAAAGCCGGCCGAUACUGUCGGACUAGAGUCCGGAAGAGGCAAGUGGAAUUCCCGGUGUAGCGGUGAAAUGCGCAGAUAUCGGGAGGAACACCAGUGGCGAAGGCGACUUACUGGACACAUAUUGACGCUGAGGUGCGAAAGCGUGGGGAGCAAACAGG
rnacentral:rRNA from 1 species